rnacentral:ncRNA from 1 species
GUCAUCCCGCCUUGUGGGUAGGCCAUCCAGGGUAAAUCUCCCCAUAGGGGAGUGCCUACCUACUCCCGCGAGGGAAUAAGACGGGAAGGAGGA